rnacentral:rRNA from 1 species
UACGAAGGGGGCUAGCGUUGUUCGGAAUUACUGGGCGUAAAGCGUAUGCAGGCGGAUCGUUAAGUCGGGGGUGAAAUCCCGAGGCUCAACCUCGGAACUGCCUUCGAUACUGGCGAUCUUCGAGUCCGGGAGAGGUGAGUGGAACUCCGAGUGUAGAGGUGAAAUUCGUAGAUAUUCGGAAGAACACCAGUGGCGAAGGCGGCUCACUGGCCCGGUACUGACGCUGAGGAGCGAAAGCCAGGGGAGCAAACGGG